UACGUAGGGGCGAGCGUUGUCCGGAUUUACUGGGCGUAAAGGGUGAGUAGGCGGUUAUAUAUGUCAGGUGUAAAAGGCUAUGGCUUAACCAUGGUUAGCACUUGAAACUGUAUGACUUGAGUGCAGGAGAGGUAAGCGGAAUUCCUAGUGUAGCGGUGAAAUGCGUAGAUAUUAGGAGGAACACCAGUGGCGAAGGCGGCUUACUGGACUGUAACUGACGCUGAGUCACGAAAGCGUGGGUAGCAAACAGGAUUAGAUACCCUGGUAGU
rnacentral:rRNA from 1 species